GUUUCUCGAAUCAAUGUUGGUGAUUCAAAAAUAUAUUGAGCCUUCGGAUCGAAACAUGAUGCCCUAUUUCUACGAUAGCACAUCACAGAAGUCUGCGUAUUCUGAGGAAACGCAGACUGCCCGCGGGAAGCCCC
ensembl:ncRNA T22E5.10 ncRNA